rnacentral:rRNA from 1 species
GUCCACGCCGUAAACGAUGCGCACUAGGUAUGGGAGGCUCUCACGCCGACCGUGCCGUAGAAAUUGAUAAGUGCGCCGCCUGGGGAGUACGGCCGCAAGGCUAAAACUCAAAGGAAUUGACGGGGCUCACACAAGCGGUGGAGCAUGUGGAUUAAUUCGAAGCAACGCGAAGAACCUUACCUGGGUUUGACAUGCACGGAUGCCCUCUUGGAAACAGGAGUAAGCUGCUUCGGUGAAACGUGCACAGGUGCUGCAUGGCUGUCGU